GACGAACGCUGGCGGCGUGCCUAAUGCAUGCAAGUAGUACGCUGAAGGAGGAGCUUGCUUCUCCGGAUGAGUUGCGAACGGGUGAGUAACGCGUAGGUAACCUGCCUGGUAGCGGGGGAUAACUAUUGGAAACGAUAGCUAAUACCGCAUAAGAGUAGAUGUCGCAUGACAUUUGCUUAAAAGGUGCAACUGCACCACUACCAGAUGGACCUGCGUUGUAUUAGCUAGUUGGUGAGGUAACGGCUCACCAAGGCAACGAUACAUAGCCGACCUGAGAGGGUGAUCGGCCACACUGGGACUGAGACACGGCCCAGACUCCUACGGGAGGCAGCAGUAGGGAAUCUUCGGCAAUGGACGGAAGUCUGACCGAGCAACGCCGCGUGAGUGAAGAAGGUUUUCGGAUCGUAAAGCUCUGUUGUAAGAGAAGAACGAGUGUGAGAGUGGAAAGUUCACACUGUGACGGUAUCUUACCAGAAAGGGACGGCUAACUACGUG
rnacentral:rRNA from 1 species